GUUGAACUCAAACCCACAAGAGGUGUUGACUCUUAUACCUUUAGCAGGAAAAUGUCCCGGAUUGUGAAUUUCUGCUAUUGACCGGGUCCAGCUGGAUCCAGGUAUGAGAGUCAUCAUCUCACCUGUGAGCUGUGACCAUGUAUAUGUCGCAAUUUCACCUGUCAUCAGGAAGCAGACAUGAGAGUCCUAUCACCUGGGUGCUGGACGAAGUUUCGCUCUUGUUUCCCAGGCCGGAGCACAAUG
rnacentral:lncRNA from 1 species